rnacentral:rRNA from 1 species
UACAGAGGAGCCAAGCGUUGUCCGGAUUGACUGGGCGUAAAGCGCACGCAGGCGGAUGCGCGCGUGGGGUGUGAAAUCUGGCCGCUUAACGGCCAGGCGCCAUCCCAUACGGCGCGUCUGGAGUGAUGCAGAGGUCGAUGGAAUUGCCGGUGUAGUGGUGAAAUGCGUAGAGAUCGGCAGGAACACCCAGGGGGAAACCAGUCGACUGGGCAUCUACUGACGCUGAGGUGCGAGAGCGUGGGGAGCGAACCGG